UACGUAGGGGGCGAGCGUUGUCCGGAUUUAUUGGGCGUAAAGGGCGCGUAGGCGGUCAGCACAAGUCAGUUGUGAAAUCUCCGGGCUUAACUCGGAAAGGUCAACUGAUACUGUGCGACUAGAGUGCAGAAGGGGCAACUGGGAAUUCUCGGUGUAGCGGUGAAAUGCGUAGAUAUCGAGAGGAACACCUGCGGCGAAGGCGGGUUGCUGGGCUGACACUGACGCUGAUGCGCGAAAGCCAGGGGAGCGAACGGG
rnacentral:rRNA from 1 species